rnacentral:lncRNA from 1 species
UGUAAACUCCGGUAAUGCUCCAUAACUCUCUUCCGGGGCGGUUUGGGGUUAGGGGUGUUACAUCAAAGCUGGAAAUAUUCCAGAUCUCAAAACGUAGCAUUGAGGCGCGAAUCAAGUUGAUUCAUGUACAAAUUACAGAGAUAAAUUUAAAAAAAAAAAACAAAUGAAGCUCAAUCGAAUGACAGUGCGAAAGGGGAGGACCAAGCGCACAAUUAACCCUCUAAGACCAAAAGCGCGGAUCUCAUCCGAGCAUGGGUCGGGUCAUUAGGUUAUGACUCCCAGAUAGUGUCAUUUUUAAGCCAUUGAAAUUGGCUUACACGACGCUAUUUCAGAUCCUUUAUAAUGGCUAAACCCAACCAAGAAAACCGUUCGGUUGAACGAAACCCUAAUCCCUUUCUUUCUCUUUUGUCAAACCCUAAAUCCCUCACUCCAACUGCAGAUUCACCUCCACAAACAGCAACCAAUACAUUCAAGCUUGGAGGGAUGACUUUUUAGCCUUGAGAUCUCCUUUCGGCUUCAAUUUCAACGAAGCAAAAAGAGAUUUAUGGCAUAUUCGCAAGGUAAGACUCCUCUUUCUUUUUUCCUUUUAUUUUCAAACGCAAUGACGGAAGAUUUGAAGGCAAUAAAUCGCAAGGAAAUGCAAAAACUUAAAGAAAUUUAAACAGAAAUCACCUUCUAAAAAUUUUGACUGCUUUCUUUGUAUUCAAUAUGCGUUCGUCCUCUUUUACACUGAUUUUCUCGGCCUUUUAUAGCCGAUUUACAGGAUAAAUAGAAAAAGGAAAAAAAAAACUCUAAUUUUUUGCUGUCAUCUGCUGGUUUAUUUUCUGUUAUUGGGGCUGUUCUCGCAAGUUCUAUGGAGAAACGGCCGUACGAAAGAAGCCGCUCGUGGUGACAUGGAGGCCGUGAGUGGAAAAUCCCUCGUGAAAACCCGAUUCCCUGGCUGCAGUACUAGCGUGUUCUAGAAACCUCUAGGUUUUUGGUAUUCUCAAGUUGUUGGGCCUUUUUGGGCCAUUUUGGCAAUGGGCUACUGUGACUUGGACCAGGGAUUAAGUUGGGGGAUUUUGGGUGUAAUGGGACUUUGGGUUAAGGUCUAGGUCAAUAGAUUUUGGGUUUCAAUUUUGAGUCUCGGGGUUGAAUGUAAAAUUUGAUAUUUAAUUGGGCCAAAACUGUGCUUGUUGUAAUUGAUGGACUUUGGACCCUUUAUUUUUAUUUUGGUUUAUGGUUUUAUUUUUUAUUUUUUUUUGUUUUGGUUUUGGUGUGGGCUCGGGUGAAAUGGGCCUAUUACAAUAAUUUUUAAAAAAUUAAAAGAUAGUAUAUAAUAUAAUUAACUCAAUCAAAUUUAGCUUAAAAUUGAAAGAAACAAAUUACUUACCUUCAUCUCAUUGACUUAUCAUCUAUUUGCCAAUAAAAAAAAUAUAAAGUUUAAAUACUUUUAACGUAUUUAAUUGAAUCCUACUAAUGGAAGUAUGAGAGCUGACCUUAUAUUUGUUAUCAAUGAAGAACCAAUAGUGCAGCUUAGGUGAAAUUGGUUCUAAAAUGAAUUAUCACCUACUAAUGAUUAAAUCUUGGAUAUGUUUUGUUCUCGAAUUUGGGAGAUUUUGUAGGGUUAAUUUGCAGUCUAUGUUCUAAUUUGAAUUUUUUUUCUAAUGAUGGAUGCUGUGUUUUUAAAAUCUUAUUUGCAUUCCUUAAUAUUGAUUCUGAAUUAAAUGCUUUUUAACUAUUUAUAUAGGAAAGCUGAAAGAGGAGCAUUUAAUAGAUGGUUGAGAUGAAGGUCCCGCAUGCAUACUUGCAAGAAAGUAUUGUGAUUCAUGAUCCUCAGAAGUAACAUUGCAGUGUGGUCAAGAAUCACAAAAAUGCAUUUAGGAGUUUCUUGGUAGAUGAUCACAAGAGUGCACUUGGCCAUUUUGGAUCUUUUUAUUUCUUAAUAAAUAUGUUUAGAAAAGAUAGUUUCGUUAUCUCAUUUCUAUAUUUACUUAAUACUCUGCAAUUUUUUCUAUCAUAAUCUAAAUUUAUUGAAAAGAAAUUUUUACUUCUAAGAUUCUGUUCAAGUCAUUUGCUUACACCUAAUGAUAUGUGUACGGGCCCGAUAUAAAUAAACCAAAAUAAUAAGUCCAAAUUUAAAAAGUCCAUUUACAAAAAAUAUCAGAUUUAAAGCCCAAAACCUAAACCCAUCUAAGCCCAAACCCUGAUGGCCCAAUUGGCCCAAUGUUUAAAUCAAAUUUAACCAAAGCCUAACCCUAGCUUUCUCUCGAGCGCCGCACCCCACGUGCCUCCGUCAGCGCACACAACGCCCCAGGCUCGGCUUCCCUCGUCACUUUGCACCGAAAGGGAAACCUUUGCCCGUUAACCUUCCACAGCCCUGCAAAACAACCUAAAAACGAGCAAGGACAGCCAAAAUACAGCAACAAAAGCAAGGGCAAUAGCGAAAAAUGGGGGGGAUUCGGCUAUAUAGCCAAAGAACAGAAAUGUAAAAGGGGGUUCAUUUUUUUAAAAAAAAUUGUAUUACACAUAUUUUCAGAGAAAUCGAAAGCAGAAAAGAAAUCUAAGAGGUGUUUGUUCUUAUUUUUUUAUCUUUUUAUUUUUGAUUUUUCCAUUUGUUUUUAUUUUAGUUAUUUUGCAAAUCUUUUUCUUUAUAAAAAAGAGGCUUGAAAUAAAUAAAAAAGGAGGGGAACAGGAACUUACCGAAUCGCGUCGCCGGAACUCCUCCCUCCAUCAUCGGGUUCGAACUCCAAAGGGAGAGGGGGAAGCCUCCCGAUCUCGAUCGCCCAGGCCUUGAAGGCUUGGCCUUCAAACGUGGCUUGAUCAAGGGCUGAAAAGCCCGUUCGAUGCUGCCAAAACCACCGUCCAUGGUGGAGGAAUGAAGGACCACCUGCGAUGAUGGGUUUAAAAAAAGAAACCUGGCACAGAAAAGAAAUUGAGGGAAAGGGGCUGCUGUCUGCUUCUGAAAAAAAAGAGAAAAUGAAGGUUUUUUUUUUAAAUAGGCUUAAGUAACCCUGGAAACGACGUCGUUUUUGGGUGGGGGUCCAGGUGCCAAAACGACACCGUUUUGAACCCGCCCAUGCGCGACCCGACCCGCCUUCUAUGGGAUCCGCGUGUUUUACCUUUCAAUGGGGAAUUUUCGCGUAAAGUCCCUCCGCAUUUGCUGCUCUUCCAAAUCCAAUUUCCUUUUAUUCUAAUUUGUGCCUCAUAAUUUAUUUCAAUAUUAAUUUAGUCCAUGUUUAAGCACUGUGUUUUUUUUAGUUUGGGGUAAUUUCGUUAUUAGUCCCCGUGAGUUUACUCGCGUUAUAUUUCAUUCCUAAGUUAAGCUCCAACGACUUAUUUAUUUACGGAUUAUCUUCUUGAUUUUAUCUUUAUCUCAAUUGAGUCCUUUUCCUUUUAACUUCAUUUUUGUAAAAUUGUCUCAUUAUUUAUUUUAGGUUAUUAUUCACUUUUAUAUUAUUCAUUAUUUUAAUUUAUUUUUAUCGUUUAUUUUCUAUCUAUUUUCGUUUGUAUAUUUUUAAAAUACUUUAUUUAUAUAAUUUACUCAUUUGUUUUAUUUCUCUUUUAUGUAUAUUCUUUAUUUAAAGUUUUAUAUGUGUCAAGGUUAUUUUAAAUAUUUUUAUACAUCGUUAUUAUAUAUAUGUAUUAUUCAUUUACAUUCUUGCAGUCCUUUAUUUAUCAUCCUUCCAAUCUUUAAUAAUCUUUUACUAAUUAUUUAGUUUAUUCAUGCCUUUAUUUUUAUCUAUUAUUAUUAAUUUAUUCAUCUACUUGAUUAAUUAUCAUCUCUUUUAUGUCUUUAAGAUUAGACACCUUUUUUACUUAUAUAUAUAUAUAUAUAUAUAUAUAUAUAUAUUAUUCCUACUAUUAUGAAUUAUUAUUAUUACUAUCACAUUCAUUUAUACAUGCUUUACUAUAAAUCGGGCCAUCAAUUUUGUUUAUGUUUUAGCGCCAAUAUUUUUACAAGCCCUUUUUUCUUAUAUUCAUAUUUGCCUAUUAUUUGUUAAUGUUGCCAUUGCUAUUAUUCAUUCAUUUGGUAUGUUUCAUUGUUAGAAUUUGUUCCUUAAAAUUGCUAUUAUUGUAGUGCAUUAGUACUAUUAUAACAUUCAUUUACUAUAGUCGCUUCAUGUUAUUCCAUUAUUAUUACCCCAUAUAUUAUGUUCAAAUAUAGUCAGUCGUCUUUAUAUCAUAUUUCAAAUCAGCUCAUAUUAUUCUAAACUUAUAUUUGAUAAUUACUUCAAAAAAGAGAAACUUUCAAAAUAUGGCAAUAUUUCUUUCUUUUGGAAAUUCGAGAAAACGUACCCUAACUUAUUGGGUUUCGAUUUUUCUCGUUUAACCUAAAUAACUUAAUAUCCCUUCAAAUUUCAAAAAUAUGAAUUCUAAAUAAAAUAAGACAAUAUUUCGUAUUUUGGGAAGUUCGAGAAAUCGUGCCUUAACUUAUUGGGUUUCGAUUUUUUUCUCGUUUAACCCAAAAUGAUCGAACAACCUUUCAAAAUUAAAAUGCAUGAAUUUCGAAAAUCAAAAGACAAGCUUAUUCUCGAGGUUUUAAAAUGUCGUGUCCUAAUGUACUGGAUGUAGUAUUUUGUUACUUCGAGACAAGGUCUUUAACAUCCGCUUCGAUUUAUUCAAAUAUUUUUGUAAAACAAACAUUCAUAAAAAGGGAUCAUACUUCAAACUUUAUUUUAAAUCUUUUUAAUUUUCGGCAUUAAGACAUUAAUUAAUUGAUUAGGUACCAAUUUUUGCGUUACGAGGGUGUUAAUCCUUCCUCGUACGUAACCGACUCCCGAUCCCGUUUUCUCAAAAUUCGUAGACCAAAAUUGUUGUUUUAGUAAAAUGUUUUAUUAAAAUGACCAAACUUCUCGAUGAUCCGAUCACACCUAAAUAAAAAAGAUUGGUGACGACUCCUAAUUUUCAUUUCCAUUUUCAAAACCAAAGUUGAUCCCCGUUUUUUUUUUUUUAAAUGGUUUCGACAAUAUGCACUCCGCUUUUCAAUCAUUUCGAGAUGCAGCCAUAGCAUCUACCCUCUUCCUCCCCGAGUUCCAGUGAUUCUUUAUCAAAUUAAAUAAAAUUUAAAUUCAGAUCAAUGAAGUCGGGCUUUCAAAAUCGUAUCAAAAUGGAGAACUCUACUUUCAUCUGUUAAGCAAUUUUCACCCUGUUUAAAGUAAAAACCUUCAAAAAGAAAUUUUACCAAUAAAUGAUGUGCAUAAAUAAUUCGACAAUGUAAUUGGACUGCAUUGAAUUGCAAAGAAUGUUUCAAUCAAUUAUCUUUUUUGGACCCUACUCUCCCUAUAAGAGUGAACAAACCAAGUUCUUUACAUUGCUCUUCAUCAGGAUACAAGCUCCCAGGAGCUGCACCAAAUGCUCUUCUAGUUGUUUCAAAUCCUAAAGCCACGUAAUGGAGAUAUGCUGACGUUGCCUCCAUGUUCUUCUGCAGGUUUAAAGAUAUCGAUGCGAAUUUCGUUGACUGAUUUUUAUCCAAUUCUUUUGCAACGACCUGGUUGAGUUCUUAAACUCCUAAAAACCGCUCUGUUGUUGCCUCCCAUGACAACUCGUACCUCUGUGCAUCGGUCAAUGGAGCAGGCUCUGCAUUACGUGUGGCUUCAACGAAACCGUUGCCAUCAUCAUAAGUUCGGCAAUUCGAGAACUGCUAGAAGAAAUCAUUCGAGGGGUGAUUGGCACAAAUAACGAUUUUUCCCAUAGCCAAUGCUUCGGCUGUGAUUGUGCAAACAACAUCUGUGAUGCUAGGAUUCAAGAAUAUUUCGUAACUGAAGGGGAAAGCCAGAAAAGAAAAAAAUCAAAAUUAAUUGAUCCCGAUCCAGAUAUGAAGAGAGAGUGGGGGACAAAGUGAGGCUUACUCAUGGAAUAAAGGAUCAGCAUGAUCACAACCAGGAACUAUUUCAGCUUGUUAGCAGCUUCCUUAACUUGAUCGGAGUCUUCUCCAUUGCCAUACAGAUCAAUCUCGAGACCAGCUAACUCCUUUUGGUGAUCACGAAUAAGUAGUUCCCCGUAGCCUUUGCUCCAAACCAUCUUCCCAAUGUAGUAAGCCCCUUUGGUGAAGGCUUUGUUACGGCUCUGUUGUUGCUCGAAAAUUUUUUUGCCUACCUCGAGAAAUUUGGGAUUAACUCCAUGAACAUUGCAGAUGAUGGAUCUGGGAUAAUCCUGAGUGGCAGCAGACAACCUAAUUACCUGCAAUAACAACAUGAUUACAAUCAGAUGAAAUUAAUUAUAUUAUAAUAUAAUAUCAAAACUUGGAGAGGCGAGGAAUUCGAUUUUCUUCUCUCCUAGUGCUCCUUUCUUCUCUAUCAGCAGCAUCAACAGCUAGACUAUGCUAGUAAAAUCAGAGACACAUAUCAUUCUAGUGGACCAACAAGGUGGCACUGAUUCCUGUUAGGUCGGAACAAUAUAUCACCCGAGGCAAAGUUACAAUCUUUGUCUUCCUUAAAUAAUCUAGCCUAACAAGUUAAUAAAGUAUCCAACAGUGCAAAUUUUGUAUAGUCCUAUAAAUAUCAAGCAAAAGUCGCUUUAACUUGUUGGCAAGCACAGAAAAAUCAAAGCUUAUUAGGAAGCUUACCUUAUGGCAAUAGAUGCUAACAACCCAACUAUUUAAAUAUUUCAGAAGAAAUGCUAGCAAUCGUCCAUUUUUCUCCCUCUUUACGUACUCCAAAUAAUUGGUAUGAAUUAUUCCUAUGACGAGGCGAAAUUUCGUUUUCCAUCUCUUCCCAUGAUGAAACCACGUAAGAUGCUCGGGCUCCUCGAGGACAGCAGUAUCUGCCUCUUCAUCAGGGAUGAUUUCCGAUAUGUCUCCUACAGGAAUUAUGCUUUUUUUAACUACAGCAAAGUGCAUCACAAUUAGUACUAUAAAUUAUCAUCAGAUUGUCACCAUGGUAAUUAAAUGAUGGUUCUGAUGUUUAAAUUAUCUAUGUUCAUUUAAUUUUAGGAAUUUGUUAAAGGUGUGCGAUUACCUUUCCAGGAUAAAAGCAUAUACCGAAAUCAGGUAUAAAUGCAAUCCUCCGUUCAAGCCAUUGACGAAAUAAGACUCUUGCUCCCAAGGUGAACCGAACAUAGCAUUGUCCGACUAUACUAGUUUUUGAUCUUUCAAAGACAACCAAGGAAUCACCAAUGUGAUCUUUCUGUCUCCACCUUUGGCUAUAUAAGAUGGUAGAGAUAAAUUAUCUAUACGUUUUCAUGAGGCCUGAGGGGACUUUCACAGUAAUUGUUGGUUGAGUCAUGGAAGAUCAUUUGUGUGUGCCCUUGGAUGUAAUUGAAAAAUGUAUUAAACUGCUAAAAGAGCUCAUCUAGAUUUUUAUUUGACUAACGAAAACCCAUGUGUUUGUACAUUUAAAGCCCCAUUGUCUUAAGAAGGAUCUGAGAGUCGCUCCUAAAUGUGAGUAGAGAAUUAACUCUCAUACAAAACGACAAGCAGCUCGAUGCAGCUGCUUCCAUUUUUUUUAUUAUUAUCUGCAAACAAUGUCCUAAAAGAGUGCAACAAGGUGCCCAAUUAACUCUCUUUCUGUAACUCUCAAUGUAUCCUCAUCCAUUAAUUUAUUUAGCAAAUUAUACAUUAAAAAAUUGUAAAAUAUUUCAUGGGUACUUAUCUAUAAACCAUAAGAACUUGACCAAAGUUUAAUCAUUUUUCCAUUGUUAUCUUCACCCCAAAGUUUUCAGAUCCAUUUCCAGCUUCUGUACCAAUGUCAGAUCAGCCAACAAAGAGGUAUAUAUAUGUUUACGCUCAAGGUUGCUAAAUUCAUUUAGUUUUAAAAAGUUAUAAGAUAGUUACUGAAUUAUUUAAAAGUUUUCAUUUAAAUUAUUGAGCUGUUAAAAUCGUUACUGUAUGGCUUUUCCAUUUGCACCGUAUGCACCAGUUAAAAUCUCUCUUUUCCUUAUUUUUUAUAUUUUUUUUAUGAAAUAAUUUUAAAUAUCACGAAUUUACUAAAUAAAGUCUAAACAGUUUUCUUCUACGAUCUCAAGCAUUGACCGCUAGAUCUACUUUAGAUUUAAUGAAAUUUUUUUUACAUCUUGAUGAGCAUUGAUCCAUCGUACCGAUCAUGAAAUCAUCAUUUAGAAUUUAAUACCUAGUUUUUUUUUUUGUAAAAAUAACUAGACUGCCCAAUAAUUUAAACAAAAAAAAUUUAACUUACUAAAAAUCAAUUUACCCAUAUAUUUAUAUGUAUUUAUUUUGCAAUUAAGCAUAAAUAAGCUAAGCUCCAUUGUUGUUCCUUAAAUAGGUAUGCAGUGGUUACGGGUUCAAACAGGGGCAUUGGAUUUGAAAUAUGCAAGCAGUUGGCUACAAAGGGUAUGACGGUGGUGUUGACGGCUAGAGACGAGACGAAUGGUGUUGAAGCCGUCGGAAAAUUGAAACAGUUUGGGUUCUCUGAAACUGUGGUGUUUCAUCGACUGGACGUGACGGAGCCAGCGAGUGUUUCGAGUUUGGCCGAAUUUGUAAAGACUCAAUUUGGAAGGCUUGAUAUCUUGGUAAAAUCAUUUGGCUUUUCUACCUUCUUGGAUUGUCUUUUUUCUAUAUCUAAUUAUUGAGUUCCAAACAUUGUUCAAACACUGAUUUGUUUAACCUGAAUUUGAAUCCGAUCCAAUAAGUGACCUGAGGGACUUAUAUAAAACUUUUAAAAGAUUUAGGAGUUUUAAGAAUUUCCAAAAAAAAAUUAGGGUUUUGAUUAAAAUUUUUAAAACUUUUGAGAAGAUUAAUGAAAUUUUUCAAAAAAAAAAAUUGAAUAGUCUAAUUAAAAUUAACAAAAAUUGUAAAAAGCAUAAUGAAAAUUUUCCAAAAUUUUGAGAGACACAAUGCCUCUAGUUUUAAGGACGUACCACCCAGUAUUCUAUUCUAUUCACUAUAAAAAGUCAACAAUUUAAAUUAAACUCAAAAACAACUUAAAUUUGAAAUUAUUUAAACUUAAAAUGGUCUAACUUGAAAAGUCUGAUUGACAAACUUGAAUGACUUAAACUCGAAAUAACUUGAACCUAAAAUGAUUCCAACAAAAAACAAACUUAAACUUGAAAUGACCUCAAUCUGAACUUAAAAUGAGACAAACCCCAAAAUUAAGCUACUUUGAAAAAACUUUAUCGGUAAACUCGAAUGACCUUAAGCUGAACUUAAAUUUUACAUGAAUUCGAGAUGAUCCAAACUUAAAAAGAGUAAAAAAAUUUAAAACCCGAUUAGAUUCAAAUCAACUUGGACAGCUGAAGUGAGAGGUCUAGGUUGUUAUAAUUAUUUGAUUGAAAUUGUAUGUAGGUGAAUAAUGCUGGAAUUGGUGGAGUAACAGCAGAUGAAGAUGCUUUAAGAGCUGGUGUUCUUGGCAAGGUAAUCUGGAUUUCAUGGCUUAACUUGUUAUUUCAUUUGGAGAAAACCAGGGAUUAGGGUUGGAAAUGAAAUUGAAUUAGUUGUGGCUUAAUUUCAGCCUGCUGCUACAGUCAACUGGAGUGGAAUAUUGAUGGAAACAAAUGAGUUAAGUGAGGAAUGCCUCAAAACAAACUAUUAUGGUGUCAAAACAGUGUGUGAAACACUCCUCCCACUUCUCCACUUAUCUGAUUCACCAAGAAUUAUAAAUAUUUCUUCUUCAAUGGGACAAUUAAAGGUAAAUGAGGUCAACCCCGGUAAAAGUUUAGUUUGUGGCAGAUUGCAUUUCAGUUUCUCUAUUAAAAAAAUAAACAAGUUAACUUUUAUACAUUUCGAAACAUGCAAAUUAUCAAUUAAAUGAUAGUGGAGAAUAUUAAUUUAAAUAGUUAAUUGUUAAUUUGGUUCGUGAACUAUAACUAAAAUAUUGUUUUGAUUUUUUAUUUUUUUCUUAAUAAUAAUCCUAAAAACUUAAAUUAUUUUUAAAAAUAUGGUUAGUGUCUCAUUGUAUUAGAUAAUUAUCAUCAAAUCGAGAAUUUUAAAAAUGAAAAUAUUUCUCCGUUAUUGAAUGAGAGUUCAAUUUUUCAAAAAAUAAAAACAUACCAAAAAAGAGCUCCUUUGAAUGUAAGUUUUGGUUUUAAUAAAUCUGAGUUUGAUUUUGUUUUAACAUAAGUUUUAAUAAUUUAUAUUUAUUUUUGAGAUUUUUUUAAAAAAAUUAGAAUUAUUGUUAAGAAUUUUUUUAAAAAAUUUAAAACGACGUUUUAGCUAUAGUUUAGGGUCAAAUUAGUAAUUAACCAUUUAAAUUAACGUUCUACAUCAUCAUGUAAUAGAUAAAUUUUAAUAGAGGGACUAAUUUGCAUAUUUUAAAAUGUAUAAGGACUAAUUUAUCUAUUUUUCAGUAGAGGGGCCUUAAGUUCAAGGACUUCUCUAGUACUUUUACUGUCAACCUCGUCUCUUUUUUAAUUAAAAUAUUUUUUGAGUCAAUUUUACUAUUCUUAAAUGGUUGAUUGACCUUCCUAACAAUGACAUCUCCAAUAUUCAAACUUGAAUUUUUUUUUUUUUUUACAUAUUAGAAUAUACUUAUGGUGACACCAUAAUUAUACUAUAGGUUUGAUUAGCUUGUUUUAAUUGAGAAAACCAAACAUAUAGUGUUUUCAUUACCUUUUCAUAUGGGAGAAUUUGUUUAUUUUGAUUCAGGUUAUUUUAAGUCAAAUCAAUUUAGAUUAUUUUCGGUUCAAGUCAUUUGGGUCAUCUUAAGUUUUAGUUAUUUUGGAUUACUUGUUUGAGCAUUUUGAGUUUAGGUCAUUUUAGGAUUUAAGGUCUUUAAGUUUGAGUAAUUUUUGAGGUUUAGUUUUCUUUGCUAACCUUAAUUAGCUUUUUAGGUCGAUUCAAUUUAGUUUUUAAAAUUCUUAAGUAAUUUCAAGUUUAAAUUAUUUUAGAUUUAAGUCAUUUAAGUUUGUCAAUUCGAUUUUCAAGUUAGGCUGUUGAUUUUUUAUACUUAAAUCAAAUUUAACUAUAUUCAAAAUUGAAUUAAUUGGAUUGAAUUUUCAGAACAUAUCAAAUGAAUGGGCAAAAGCAGUACUAGGAGAUGCUGAAAACCUCACAGAAGACAAAGUGGAUCAAGUACUGAGAAUAUUUAUGAAUGAUUUCAAGGAAGGUUCAUUAGAAGCCAAAGGUUGGCCUACACUUUUGGCAACAUAUUCCAUCUCAAAAGCAGCCAUGAAUGGCUAUGCAAGGGUAUUGGCUAAAAAACACCCAAGUUUCCAAAUCAAUUGUGUUUGCCCUGGCUCUGUCAAAACUGACAUCAACUACAAUACUGGCCUAUUACCUGUUGAAGAAGGAGCUGAGAGUGCUGUGAGGUUGGUUUCGUUGCCCAAUAAUGGCCAUUCUGGCCACUUCUUUGUUAGGAUGGAACAAUCAGAAUUUUGAUCAUAUAAUUAUUUCAAAAUUCGUAGCUAUCCUUAUUAAUAAAUUUACCUCAAAUAUUCGAACUUAAUAAUUCUCUCUAAAAGAAUAAUGUAACUUAUCACUGCACUCAACACUUAGUUGAUUUGCUUAUGAACAUUUAUGAGACUAUAACUCUAAUAAAAGACAAUGGCAAUUCAUUUUUAUUUCACUUUGGGGGUAUAAAUGAGUAAUUGAGAAUAAGAUAAAAAUGCUAAGGACCUAUUAGCAAAGGUUUGAGGUUUUGGGUUCUUGAAUAUUCAAAUUUAAGUUUCAUUAUGUAUGAGUUUUAGUUUGAAUUAUUAUAAUUUUUAUUCGGGUUAAUUCAUUUUUUAGUCUAUUUGCGCUUUAUAUUAAUUUGAUGAUUUUGUAGUUGCUCAAACAUGUAUCUACAAUUGUACUAUAAUUGUAGUCUACUUGUAUUUGCAAUGAGAAUAAAAUAAAAAGGUUAUCGGUACUAAAAUUUGAAUACCAUAUUAAAUUGAUAUAGUAUGAACCAAUUAAAUCAAAUCUUAAAUUUUUCAUCCAAAAUUUAUAAAUCAAAGAGCAGCAUUGAUAUAUUAUGGACUAGACGAUGACACAUCACUAAAAAUAAAUUAAAUGAAUUUAGUUUUAAAAUUUCAUAAUGAUGUGUCAUUAUUUAAUUAUUAUUAUUAUUAUUUUUUUUUUAAUAAUUGGGACAAGAGAAUAGGAUACGACAUAAUACUUUUCUCACUAACUUAUGUUACGUAGAUAUAGGAUUCAGGGUUCCAACCUUUUCUAUCCCUUUGAAUGUGUAUGUUGUAGGAAAUUGCCAAAUGGUCCCAACCUUAUUAGAUAAAGGUGAGUUCCACAAUAAGUGACGGUGAGAAAUUUCCUUGAAAAUGAAAAUAAAAAUGUUCAACUUCCCAAGUCUUACUUUUAUUCACCUCAAUCCCAUUAAAAGCUAAAUUUGGUUGCUUCAUUCACAUUUCUUCCACAGAAAAUUGGUUUUUUUUAUUUAUUGGAAAUAUGCUUUUACUAUUUUGUUUGUUGUCUUUUAAUAGUUGGAGAGUUAUAAGUAAUUUAAGAAUUGUAUAAAAAAAUAGGGUAAAUUGUACAAAUGGUCAUUCAACUAUGUCUGUGUUUUUGUUUUGGUCACCUUACUUUAAAAGUUUUCAAUUUAGGUACUAACGUUUGAAUUUAUUCCUAUUUUGGUCACACGUCGUUAAAUUGAUUAUGGAAAGUCUUUUUCUAACUGACAUAAUACUACAUUUAGUCUUCAAUACUUACUUAUUUUAUCAAUUUGAUCCUAAUUCCUAACAAUUUAAUAAAUUUAACCCUUUACAUUUACAAAUUUUAUCAAUUUGAUCCUCAAACUUCCUAAUCAAAGCUUUCAGCUUUUAAAACAAAAGCAUUCCACAUCUAUAAAUUUGUAAAACCCAAAAAAGAAAAAAAAAACUUCUUUCAACUAACAAGCCCUUUUUCAAAAUAAUUCCUCAUACCAAUGAGUUUAUCUUGAAACUUUUUUUCUUUUUUUUUCAUUAAUUUCUUCUAAAUAUAAUAUUUUAUAACCCUUUAAUUGAUAAAAUUUUAGCUAAUGAAAAUGGAAAAACCUUAAAAAAAACAUUUUAGAUUUACUCUUGUUGUUAACAAUAGAAUGUUUCCUUCAAGGUACAUAGGAAUAGUCCUGAAGUUGGUCCUUGAAAUCGGAAAUUAAAUCAAGAAUUAAAAAAAUAUGGUUUUAGAAAAUCCAAUUGUUUAAUAAAUAAUUAUAUAAUAAAAAUUAUUAACAUUUAAUUUUUCAUAAGAACAAGAUGUGAAAGAAUUAAUUGAAUUUCCUUUUGUAAUAUUGAUAAUUAUUUUUUUAAUUUUAUAAACUGAUUAAGAGACUAUUAUGUGUUCUAUUAAUUUUUAAUUUUUUUUAAAAUUUUUAAAUCCAUAAUAAGCAAUACAUAUCACUAGUAAUUUGAUUUAGUGUCAAAUCAUUUACUAAAUUAAUUAAAAACUAAAAUUAUGCUAGUCAAAGUGAAAGAUUGUUUUUUUAUGAAUAUUAAAUUAUUUAUAUUAUAUUUUUUAAAAUUUAUUUUUUAAUUAUUUUUAAUGGUGUUUAGUUAAUUUCUAACAUUAACUUCUUAAAAAUAUAAACAAAAAGGGUUAUGCAUCAAAUUGGAUAAUUUCAACUAUAAAUAAAACUAUUAAUAGAUGUGGAAUGUCUCUGUUUUAAAAGCUUUUGUUAGGAAGUUUGAAAAUCAAAUUUAUAGAAUUUUGUAAAUGUGAAAGGUUAAGUUUAUUGAAUUAUUUAGAAUUAGGAUCACAUUGAUAGAAUAAGUAAGUAUUGAGGACUAAAUGUGUUAUUAUACCAGUUAGAAAAGGCCUUUCCAUUAUCAAUUUAACGGUGAGUGACCAAAACAGGAACGAAUUCAAACGUUAGUUCCCAAAUUAAAAAAUUUUAAAGUUAGGUGACCAAACUAGAAAUGUGGGCAUAAUUGGGUGACCAUUUGUAUAGUUUACCCUAAAAAUAAAUAUCAAUUCACAAAUGUAUUAAAAUUUAGGUUAAACAUGCUACUAGUUUUUAUACAAGUGUAAUUGUAGAUUUAGUCCAUGUAAUUUAAGUUGGUCAUUUUUAGUCUUGUAUUUUUUUAAUUUCUAAAUUUUAGUCCUGAUAAAUGAUAGUUGUUAAAUUCUGUUGUUUCCAAAAUUUAAUGCGGCAAACAUAUCAUCAUAUGUAUAAUAUCUCACAAAAAACCCAGAUAAUAGAUUUAAAGGUUGUUAGUUAUGUCAAGACUAAAAUUUUAAAUUUUGAAAAGUAUAGAGAUGAGUAAGAAUGAUCCAAUUAAAAGUACAAUGACUAAAUCUACAUGUGUUAUCGGUUGGGUCGAAACUAAAAUUUAAUCAAACAUAUGUAACUACUAUCGUUUUAGAUUAGGAUCAAAAUUUCAAAAUUCAAAAAGUACAAUAAAUUAGAAAAAGCAUAGGUACUAAAUUUAGCAAAAUUAUAAAAAAAAUACUAAAUCCACAAUUUACAUAGUGUAUAGGGACUAAUAAAACAUUUGACCUAAAAUUUAUAUAAAUCUCCUCACUCUCCGCCAAUCUCUCUCCUUUGUGACUUUUAUGGAUAUUUAAUUAAUUAAUUUUGGACAUCUUUGCUAAUCAAUUUAUGAAUAACCAAUAAAAAUCCAGGUUAUAGAUAGUCAAUAAAAAAUUUUCCUUCGAUUUUUCUCACCCAUAAUUUAAAAAAUUUCAAUUAAAUCCUCAAAGUAAAAUUUUUUAUAUCAAUUGAGUACUUCUAUCAGCUUAACUAUCAGUUUAGCCAUUAAAUACUAAUUUGAAUUUGACUUAAAACAUAUUUAGAACACUAUAUUAAAUUAUAAACACCAGUGUACCUAUUAUAUUAAUAGUUUAGAUCAACAUGUCAUAAAGAAAAUAGAAAUUUAUAGAGUUUUUUUUUUUUCUGACAUUGCAUAUUCAAAUUGUUAAGACAGUAAUAUAUAUAUUUACAAUUUGAUCCACAACUUUUAAAUAUACUCCAAGCUCACAUUUAAUACCCAUAGUGAUGGUUUAAAGGAAGGACUUGAUUGAAUAAGAUACUAAUAAUUUAAAAUUUCGAUAAGAAUAUUUUGAAAUUUAAGACCAAUUUAAAAUUUACACCAUAAAUUAAGGACAUGUUAUGCAAUUAAUCUAAACAAAUUUCUUCAAACUACCUUUGCUAAUUUGCUAUAAUCUAACACAUUCUUUAAUCUCAAAGACUUGUCUUUGACAAUAAGUAAUCUCAAAGACCAGAUCUCAUCUCCCCAACACAUUAUUUAAUUCCCCCUAAGUUCCGCCAUUAAAGCUCUUCAUUAAAUUCAUUCCCUUUGCUUAUUUUCUAUUACAAUUACAGCCCAUUUUUCUAAACUCCAUCAAUAUUCAAAAAGUCAUAACUUUCUUAUAAUCCCAUUUAAAUUUCAAUCUUUUAUCUUAAAAGUUGCAUCUUUUGAUGUUUUGGGUUUAUUUUUUUUACUAAAAGCAUUGUAAUUUUGAUUGCAGGAACUUCAAUGGCUUUAAAGAAACCUGGUUUGAUUGCUUUAUUUGAUGUUGAUGGAACACUUACAGCUCCAAGAAAGGUAUAUAUAUAUAUAUGUAAAUCUCUCUUUUUUAUAUUUGGUCCUUUAAAUUUCAAUUAUAUGCUUAUUGGGUUGCUGAAUUUAAGUGAAAAUUGAUACAUUUUCAUUUAAAUGGCAUAGGUGGCUACCCCUGAAAUGCUGGAGUUCAUGAAGGAACUGAGAAAGGUAUAUGAUUUUUCUUAUGAUGACCCUUCAAUUCCUUUGGUUUUAUUUUGUUGAAUCUUUAAAAAAUAGAAAAAAAAAGAUCCAAUUUUUAUUAAAGAACUUUGUUUUAUUUUCAAUUAUAGGUUGUUACUGUUGGAGUAGUAGGUGGAUCUGAUCUUAUUAAGAUAUCUGAGCAACUUGGGAAAUCAGGUUUGCUUACGAAACCUUGUUGUUUUCAUUGUUUCUUUUUUAGUCCCUUUGAUUAUUGAACUAUUAGUUACAAUUUUUUCUGUAAAUGCAGUGAUUAAUGACUAUGAUUAUGUAUUUUCUGAAAAUGGACUUGUUGCUCAUAAAGAUGGGAAACUCAUUGGAACCCAGGUAUUACUCACAGCAUGUAUUUUCUUUUUGUCCAAACACCUUGUUUUCUUGCCAUAUGAUGUAAAUUUAAGAACUAAUGAUAAGUAUUUUUUCCCCCUUUUGGAUAAGUUGAACUUAAUUUCAUUAACUCGGUCUCGGUUUCCGUUUUCUAGAGUUUGAAGUCGUUCCUCGGAGAAGAUAAGCUGAAGGUUAGUCUUUUUCCCCUCUUAGAUAUGAUGGUUCUUCCAUUUGAUAUCUAAAAUGGAUUACGUUAAAAGCUUGGUUUAUAGUGUCGUUAGGACUCUAUUGAUUUUCAUUAUUCGCUCGUGAUGAUGUCUGAUUACCAUUAGAAAUGGUGUAUGCUAUUUGUUUCAUUGAUUGCAAAUGAUUGUGCAGGAAUUUUUAAACUUCACAUUGCAUUAUAUUGCUGACUUGGAUAUCCCAAUAAAAAGGUGAGAAAAUCGGAAGAACGGAGUUCAUUUUUUAAGUCUGCUGCAACUCUAUUUAUUCCUCUAAUCGGUCAAGUUGAAUAAGAUCACCUCUUUAUCGUUUUUCUUCGGUUUAGGGGGACAUUCAUUGAAUUCCGAAGUGGGAUGCUUAAUGUAUCUCCGAUUGGACGUAACUGUAGCCAAGAAGAAAGGGAUGAAUUUGAAAAGUACGACAAGGUAUAAAAUAUAAUAACCUUUUAGUUUUUGCUAUCUAAAAUAUACAGAGUUAGGGCGCAUCUAGCAUCAUUUUUGGCCUCCAAAAGCAAUGGUAAACGAAGAGCUUUUGCCAUCGAAAGUGUGUUUAAAACGUGCUUUUGAAACCAAAUAUAGAACAAACAACAAUGCUAAAUUAGCUUUUAGUACUUUUUAGGUGCAUAUACUUAAAUAAAUCAAACUAUUCGAGUUUCAGGUUCACAAUAUUCGCCCGAAAAUGGUGUCUGUACUUCGAGAAAAGUUUGCUCACCUUAACUUGACAUUUUCAAUUGGAGGGCAAAUAAGCUUUGAUGUAAGUAAUACAUAUAUAGUUUGUUUCAACAUUUUAAGUACCAUGAACGUCAAAAGGAUUAGUGAUUGCUUUGUUUUGAUCGUUAUAGGUUUUCCCCGAGGGCUGGGACAAAACAUAUUGCUUGAGAUAUCUUGAAGAGUUUCAAGAAAUCCACUUCUUUGGGGACAAAACUUACAAGGUUCGUUCCAUUUUUUUCACUUUGGUCUUCCACUAGUAAAAGUACCAUGGAGGCCCUUGUAUUGGAUCGCAUUUUGUCCCCUCUACUUAAGAAAUAAGUGGUCAAAGAGCAAACUGGUCAUGUUAAAAAUUUCAUCCGUUUCUACUAACAAAAACUAGUCUUGUACAUCAACAUAAGGUACAUCUGGCACAUUAUGUAUCACGAUCUAGUUAUUCUGUCAACCAUGCUAAUUUUAAACAGAACAAAUGGAUGAAAUUUUUAAGAAAAAGGACCAAUUUACUCUUUGAACUAAUGUAUAGAGACUAAUUUGCCCAUUUUUUUAGUAGAGGCAAAACGCAAUUUGAAGCAUAUCCGUUUUUACUGCCUUCCACCCUAUAUAAAUCCAUAAACUUACAGUCAUUAUCCGUUUUUAAUCGGCUUUCUUUCAGCCUUUACCUUCAUUCCAUUUACUAAUGGUCUUUUCCCUGGUCAGGGAGGUAACGAUCAUGAAAUUUAUGAAUCGGAGAGAACAGUAGGACACACAGGUCAGUUGUUAUCUCGAACUAUUUACACAGAUUCUCAAUGUUCAAUGGUCUCAAAAUGCAGUGAUUCAAUUACCCUUGGCAAUAUAACAAUAUGUUUUAUUUUGGUCAUAUGUAGUUACAAAUCCUGAUGAUACAGUGAAGCAGUGCAAAGCUCUCUUCUUAAGCAACCCUUGAACGAUACCGCUUUUCUUCUCGGUAUUACCAGGUUGUAUCGAGUGGUUUACAGGAAAGAAUAAGUGGCAAGCCGGGUGCUGGCUCAAGUAUGUAGUUUUUAUAUUAUUCAGUAAUAGUUCAAAGUGGUUAAAUUUUGGGUAUUUAGAACUUGCAGAAAAUAUGGUAUCACCAUGAUUCUCUUUUACUAUCAUUCGAGGGAAUCAUGAAUUUUGGACAUUCACUUUAUUAAGGUUGCAGCAAUUUAUAUAUGUAUUUAUAUAUACAUUGAAGCCGGCAGGAUGAACUGCUCAAUAAUAAAUAUAAUCUGUGUCUUAUAUUAUAAAGCUCCAUUUGUUCAUGGCAAUUUUUUUUUCCAUUUAACUUAAAUCGGAAGAGAAAGGAAAAAUACCCUUGAGUUUGGCUUUUAGUUUUUUUUUUUUUUUUUCACUUUGUCACUUGAAAUUGACAAUUAGAUUCAUUUUGGUCUUUGAAUUUGAGGCAUUAUUAUUUAAAAAUUUAUAUAAAUUUUCAAUUGAGAUGUGAUAAAAACUUAAAGUAUUACAUUGAGUGUCAUAAUAAUUAAACAAAUAGUUAAACAGGUUAAGCUAUUGAUUCCUAAUUCAACAUGUUUGAUUGGUUCAACCAUCAAACAUUUUAUACAGCUUAACAGUCUUUAAUAUAGACAUAAUAGUAAUUUUAGCUCCUCACGAUUAUAAAUUAUGCUAACUUAAUUAUGAUUCUAAAAAAUAUAAUUCCCUAACAUUUAUAUGGUAUAAUUUGAUAUUUUUUUACAAUUUUGGCUUUGUUUGUAAUAUUCAAGGUUAAAUUUAAAACAAUAAAAAAAUGAUAAUUAUUAUAUUAAAAUUUUAAAUUUUAAAUUUUAAUAUAUUUUCGAUCAAAUUUAAUUGAUAAAUUUAUUUUUUAAGUCACAUAAAAAAAGCGAAAUUAUAAAAAGAAGAAUAUCAAAACAUACAAGGUGUAGAUGUUAAAAAUUAUUUUUUAGAAUCAAAAUUAAAUUGAUACAAUAUAUAAAUAUUGAAGAGUAAAGUUACUAUACAAAUAUUAAAAUUAUCACAAAAUUUUCCAUUAACCUAAUAACCAAAAAGGACAAAUCAAACAAUUAAAUAAUAAUUUUAUAAAUUUUCAUAAUUGAAUGGCCAAAAAAAAAAAUACCAAUAAUUGAAUGACUACCUGUGUAUUUUACCCUAAAUAAUUUUUCAAAAAUUAUUUAAUUUUAAACUAGGACGUAAAUAUUUCAAUCGACAUAUGAAAAGAACAUGAAAAACAGUAAUCCAUGAAAAUGUUCCUUUCCUGUCUGUUGCCAUUUAAUGACAAAGUACAACAGUUGAUCCUUUUUCUCUUAGAAUAAAACAAGCAAUUAAUAAAAGUCCCAUCAAAAAUUUAUCAACCGCUUAAAAUUUUGUUAUUACUGGAAAAAAGGUCCUUUUUUUUUGUACUAUUUUCUGUACAACUUACAACAAUGGGAGCAUGUAGUUGUUCUAUACAGUUUUCCCCCCUGAAAGGGGGGGAGGGCUUAUUAUACCUGGUUAACACGAGGAACCUUUCAUAUCGCCAAUUCAGUAACGUGGUUAUCGUCCGAAGAAUCCGGCAGUUGAGUUUUAGGUUUAUUCGUGACUCGCGAAAACCCAUAACCGAGAGAACUUCCACUAGCUUGGCAUAGCUGUGGAAGUGAAAACAUGUUGGGAUUAUGAUAAAAAUAUUCCUUGAGAUGUUAGGAAAUAAACAAAAAUAAAAGGGUAAAAGUACUAUCUAAGCCCCUGUACUAAGAGUCCGAUUGCAUUUUACUCUACUAAAAUUUUAUCCAUUUGUAUUGUUAAAAACCAACAUGGCUGCCGGAAUAACCAAACAAUGACAUGAGACGUGCAACGCAUACCUCAUACUAAUGUAAAGAGACAAGUUUUUAACAGUAAAAAUGAAUAAAAUUUUGAACAGAAAACCAAUUUGCUCUUUGAUCUACCGUAUAAAGAUUAAUUUGUCUAUUUUUUUUUUGAGAGAGGGAGAAAUGCAAUCCGGCUCCUAGUCUAAUGGCCUCUAUGAUACUUUUACCAAAUAAAGGAAAAAGUAGGGGUGUAGGGAGUACCUCUGUUAGUUCCGCAAGAUGGCGAGACCUAAAUUCGUUGAUUGUUGCUGCAAUCUCAGAUGUUGGGAGUUUAGCCUGCAGAAAGACAGGGGAAAAGAAACGAUAUGGAUUGUUUAAGAUAUCAAUAUAAGUACAAAAAAUAGAAUAGAGGUGGAAGCAUCGGAUUAACAGAUGAAUAUAAGACAUCUGCACGGUUUAACGCAGGAUUAAUCAUAUUAAUAAGUGACCGAUGCAAGUGUUGCACAUCCAAAUCAUGACCUCGAGCUCAGAGACAAUGUUAAAACCACUAUGGCCGAGGAAAGCAUAACGGAAACAAGGUGCCCGGGAUUUGAAAAUGUAAUCCAUCAUACCUGAGCUAGGACAGCAGCAGCCAACUGCAGACUUGGUUCCAAGGUUUCUGGCACAACCUAUACUCAACAAGGCAGAAGAGAAUAAGGAAAAACCAGAAGAAGAAAAACCACAGGCGGUAAAUUUAAUAGAAGGUGAAAGAAUAUUACAGCCGUAGCCCCAGCUUUUUCCAAAUUAAGGCCGUGAUCAACAUCAUGAGCGCGGACAAAAGUUUUCACAUUAGGGAAAUACUUGCUCAGAGCCCAAACAGUUCUAUAAUUGGCACCAGGUGUAUCCAAGGUUAUUGCCGCAGCACAAGCUCUUUCAGCACCAACUUUGUGAAGGACCUAAUCACCAGUGUAAAAGAAGUCAAAUGGUGAUCUCCAAGUCGGCUUAUUUUGAACGAAUUUUGCUUACCUCUCGACUACCAGCAUCUCCAAAAUAAACAGGAAUGUCCAGGGAACGCCCCAUUGCCACCCUAUCACUGAAAGGAGCAGAAACUUUUAGUACUUGCCAUGAUUAAUUGAUGAAUUUUAGAUAUCUGCUAUUUUGUGAUGUGUACCACUGGUAUAGGCUAUGAAAGUACAACUACUUGAUGGCCAUUUCCAAAAUGAGUCAGCCUAUUUCCAUGAAUGUCUUAAGCUUCUUCAACAAAAAUGUCAAUCACAUAGUAGGCAAAAGCGACUGUUUUACAUUAAUCGUGAACAUUUAUAUGCAUCAAUCUCUAGCUCAUAAUCAUGCGCUAUAUCAAUACAUUGGUAAUAUAGAAAAUCAAAGACAAACUCAUGAGUCACGGUAUGGGCAGGUAUCUUGGAGGAAUUAAAUUGGCAUACACAAAGGAUCUAUACCCUAGAUUAAGAUGGAGUCAGAUGUUUGCAAAAUCAUAAGCAUUAUGAUCGAUGAUUAUUUGACUUCUCUUUAAAAAGAAUUAUGUUACCUCCGCACAUCAAGGGCAACGAAUGGAAUUAGGCGCUCCGAAAGUAGCUGAGCUAUGAUCUGAAAACAUGCAAAGAAAAAGAGAAAACACGACAUUGUUACGGACAUGUGUUUAUGGAUUAUUAACUAAUUUGAGAAGAGGUUCAUCAGAUUAACACUUUCAGACUAAUUUUUCAAAUUCAAGUGUGCAAAUAUAUAAAUACCUGCCCAACACGCCCAAAUCCACAAAUGAUAAUAUGAUCUUGCAAAUCAUCAGUCUGGAAAUAAAACCAAGUUAAAGAGACAGAUUAAUAACUAUUAGAGAUCCCAUUACAUCAAAAUCAGAUGCUUAAUAUAUUGAAAAGAGAUUUACUGCAUAAAGAUACUUUAUUAUGUUACCUCACUCUCGACAGGCAAUAAGCUUCGAACAUCGUGUAGCUCAAAACGAGAGGCAAUUAACUGGCCUCCAGCAGCAAGCCAUGGUGUGAGGGCCAUUGAAAUCCCCACAACAAGGAACAACAAUGAGGAUAGCUGAGAAGACAUUAUUCCCUGCCAAAAUCCCCCCAUUAAUACUUGCAUAAGUGAUAAAACACUGCAUAUUAGCACUUGGCUUUCAUUAUUCAAAGAACAACGAUUCUUGUUGAUUUAGUAAAAAAACGUGCCCAUUUACCUAAGAUAUAUGAUACAGUUAACGAAUAUUCCAAAUUAUAAUGGAACAAAUAUGUGAACAAUAUAUCUUUCUCAAAUGACAAACCACCCUUACACUGACAAAACUCAAAAGUAAAAAUCAAUAACCCAACAGGUUAACUAAAAAUUUACCAAAUACAAGAUAAACUAUUAGAUGCGGAUGAGAUAAUCCCAUGACCAAAUGAUGUUAGUUAAUAGUGAAAGAAACCUGAUUAACAGCUUCACCAAAAGCCACAAAUGCAAAUUCUCCACCUGGAGCUAGAAGAAGACCAACCCUUAUGGCGGAUAUGAUCGAAAUACCAAAAAGUUUACCAACAACUGCCACCAAUAUGGUCUUGCCACCAAGUAAGAGUGCCAAUGUCCCCGCAAUGACAGGAAAAUUUGACACAAGAAGCUUUGGGUCAAUUGACAUUCCAACCUGAAAAGUCAAAAUGUCAACAGUUGCAUAUGCUCGAUCAUCAAUGUAUGGCAGUAACAAUAACCUAAACCAAAAACAAGCCAAAUUAAGCAAGUGUUAUCAUUCUCAAAACUCAGUAACGUAGUAAAUGAUAUGAAGACUUUAUCCAACCACCUCUCCCAGUUUUCUCCUACUUCCACCUAUGAGAUAAAAUCAUCCUCUAUGUAUAAAGAAUCUUGGUAAUAUGAUUGUUGUAUAAUAUUCACACUAAGGACACGUUUGGACAGCACAAAGUAAAUGAAUGAAAGUGUAAUUAUUAGGGUAGUAAUUAUACCCUUGUAAUUACAACAAAUUGUAAUUCCCUAAAUGUAGCUGACAUAAGAUAAUUAACAUCAACCUUAUAAUAUUUGGGUUUAUAGUUCAAAUAGUUUGUAGCUUUAAUUAUAUAAACUUAAUUUGACUGACAAACAGUAAUUAGCAUCAAUCUUAUAAUAUGGUGCAAAGAAAACCAUUUCUAUUUGCUUAAUUAGUAUCAAGCUUAUAAUAUUUGGGUUCAUAGUUCAAAUAAUUUGUAGUUUUAACUAUAAAUUUAAUUUAGAUAAUGACUUAUGCUAGAUUAUAUCUCUUUCUAUAAUAUGUAAAUUAAGUAAAAAGUAAUAUAAAAUUUAUAAUAUAUAAACUUUAUAAUAAUAAAAAAAAAGAUUUUAUAAAUUGUCCAAACCUGAUAAAAAAAACUAUAGUAUUUUUUAUAAUUAAGCAAUAAUAAUAAAAAUAAAAAUAACUAUAAUAUUCUUUUAUGAUUAUAAUAUACAGUAUGUACACGUAAAUAAGUUAUGUCCAUACUUCUUAGUCAUAACUUUUUAUAAAUAAAUACAUUAUGCAAUUUUAUAACAUGUACAUUAUUUUUUAUAAUAUAUUAUAAAUAAAUACAUUAUCUUUUACCAUAAUUUUAGAUUUUUUUUAGGAUUUAAAUAAUAUAUUUUUAUUAUAACUUUAUAAAAUACAAAAAUUAUUUUUAUAAUAAUUUUUAGAAAUUAAAAUAUAAGAACCGUUAUACCAUAAACAUCCAAAACACUUAUAAGUGUUUAUGCUUAUAAUAUAAUUUUCAUAACUUUGUAUAAAAAUAAUUUUUUAAAAUUGGAUUUGGGUAUAAUUACCUGUGUAAUUACCCCAAUUCUCACCCUCCCCUCUAAGAAUUGGAAAGUAAAAUUGGGGUGCUCCAAUUACACCCAAUUCAAUGGGACCCACCAAUUAUAAUGGUUACACAAACAUGCCACCCUUGUGUACUUACAAGCAAUUACGCACAAACCCAAUUACUAGAUGGCUUUCCAAACACUACCUAAAUGGCCUUCAUAAGAAAUGAGCACCAGGUACAACUACAACUGAAGCAAGAAAGUAAUUCAAUGAACAGACAAUCUAGUCAUCCAAAAUGGAGAGGCCACCAAAUAAAAUACCCACCGUCAUGAAGAAGAGACCCAAUAAGAGGCCACGAUAUGGAGCAAUAUCUGAUUCAACCUGCAAAGAGAAUUCAGUCUCUGCAAGAAGCAAACCAGCUAGAAAUGCUCCCAAUGCCAUGGAAAGUCCAGCCUGUUCAACCAGAAGAGUAAAAACAAAAUGAAGGAUCUAAGGUAUUAUUACUACAACAGAAGAAAAAGAAAAAUUGACAAGAAUGUAUAGUUUUCGUACCCUAGCAGUAAGGAGACUUGUCCCUAGAAUAACAAGGAGGGUAUUGGCUGAGAAUAUUUCUGCAUUUUGAUUUUCUGCUAUUUGCUUAUAAAUUGGUCGAAGCAACUGCAAGAAAGGAAAAAAGUAUACAAAAAUCAGCAGCUGCUGCGUUUCUGAAGCAUUAUCCAUUUUCAGAGUCAAGCACAGGUAUCAACAACCUUAGUAGAUUCUGAAGAUUGUGGGUAAAUUGCAUCUAUGAGUUAAAUACCUUUCUUUUUUGUUAUGAUUUAUGAGUCAAUACUAUCAGACUAUUAGAUGCAUUUCUUAUAUGUAUAACAAAGCUCUCACAAACUAUCAGUUAGCUCCACUAGAAUGAUACCACGUACAUCCAACCAGGUUAUAUUUGAACGCUCUUAAUAGACAAUUUGCAAUUUUUUUAAUCAGCAAAAUAUUACAGGAUAAGUUAAGAUAAAGUAAAACAAUAAAAAUUUAAUGUCCAAACCUGAGGCCAUAAUUUAUGAAUGUCUUAGAUAUAAAACUUACCAACCGUCCCCCAGCAAUAAUUGCAGCAAUGGCAACUGCUGCCUUAACAGCAGCCAGUCCAAGAGCUUCAGCAAUGGCUCUAAAACCAACCUGAAAACCAAAAAAAUUACAUAACUCAAAAGUGCAAAUAUAAAAUGUAGAAGUAUCAGCAGCGGUAACAAGAAUGUGGCAGAUAAACCAGACAAGGGGCAAAUUUCACUUCUUCUUAACUUGCCUUAGCCAUCAAAGUUCUUUCAUGUUUUUCCCUAAAUAUUUCCACUUGCAAAUGUUUCCAAAAUACUUCCUUAGAAGUUCAUUAGAACCAUUUAAGGAGGCAACCAUCAAAUAACAAAAGAAAAGAUUUUGGGGAAAGCACAUGCUCCCUCAAAGCAAACUAGUGGAGUAUGCUGCAAAGAAAUAAACAUAAACAGCUAUUAAGAAACCCAAGGAGAUGAAGGAGCAGACAGCUUUCUACUAAUAGAAGCUUAGGAAAAUCACUCAUCAAAACCCGAGCCCCAAGAGAGCUUUAUGGUUCAUUCAUCAAAAUUUGAGCCCCAAAUGAACUUCAUGAUUAAUGCAAGUAUCAGAAUAAAGAACAUAGAUGUAUGUGAAUGACAUACUAUCAAAGCAAAGCCAAUUAGAAUAUUCAAGGUCAAAUGAGGAAUAAAAAGGAAAAGCAAAAAAUGGAUAUAUUAGAAUUUAGAAGAUCUUACCCCUCCUUUUGAUGAAUUUGGUGAGAUAAGAGGUAUGAGUAUAAGCAAAACAACAACAGCCAAGUCCUGGAAAGAAGAGAUAUUAAUCAAUAAAAAUUCACAACCAAAACCAUCCAAAUGAACUAAAUGUCAAAGUGAACUUCGAAAGACUAAUGAGGGAGGAUUCCAAACAUAUCUAGCAGGUAUUAUUAUGUGUCCUAAUUGCCAAUUUAGUCGGAUCAUUCAUAAAGCAUUUUUAGUACUAUGGGAGCAAGAUGGCUUAAUUGCAUAGGCGAUUACCAUGUUGCAUUGAGUAUAUAACUAAUUUCAUCUUUGCUUACUUCAACAGUAAAUAUGUCUGUUUAAAACAUGAAGAUUGGGAAAGAAGAUUUAAAAAUAAGAAGAAAAAGAAAGGGACAAAAAGUAGAAGCAGGCAUACACGUAUCAGUUAUCAAGACAUUCAUUUGUAUAAUAACUGAAUAAAGAACUAUUAUCACUGACUGCAAAAUUCAAUUCAUAAAAAAUGCCUCCUGAAGUCAAUCCCUUUUCUCAAGAUCCUAGGACAACCUGAAAAAGUAGGACUGAAAAUGUAGCACGCCCAUGGCGUGAAGUACUCUCACCUCGCUCCUGUAAUACCUGCAAAUGAAGACAACAACAAUUAUAAGACCAUUAAUGGAGCCAUGAGGUCUCUUUAUCUUCUGUGGUAGGUAUGUUAUUGUAAAGGAACAAAAAAUAUGAAAAGUAAAACAAAUGACAAGAGUUUGAUACAAUCAGGUCACAUUCAUGCUAUUACUAAACCUAUUAGGUAGAUUUGUGAAGACAAUCGCAAGAAACCAAGUUAUCUUCUAAUUUCUAAAGAUUUUAAGAGGCCGCAGAGGAAUAUAAGAGGAAAAUAGAUGUUUAUAGAUAUUCAACAAAAAUAAAAUUUUAAUCUUUUGCCCUAGCAAGCUUGCUAAAAUUUGUGUCCUUCAGGAUGUGCAAGAGUAAUAAUAAUACAAUGUCAAAAUUAAUAACAUCUGAAGCAGAAUGUGUCUAUGUUAAUUACCUGCAAGACAACAGCAGUUGAAGAUAAUGCCAGGCCAUUCCCAAUCACAAUUGCAGCUGGACCAGGCUGCCCAGCAACAAAAUGAGCAACCAAGCCAACUACAACUGCAGUCACAAGGACCUGCAUCACAUAAAAGUAUAAGUUAAAAGAACUUUCAAAACAUAUGUGACAGUAACAGAAAAUUUAUUUUCUCAAUCACCUGCGCAGAGCCUAAUCCAAAAACAUAUUUCUUCAUGGAACUUAACCUUUCGACGGAUAACUGCAAAAGGCAAAAUAUGGGCACAUGUUUAAUACCAUCUUAUAAUGAUGGAAUUCAAUGUAAAGCUGCAAUUAUGGAUGUAUAAAAUAAACUCCACCUCAAGGCCAAUAUUGAAUAGCAAGAAAACAACUCCAAAUUCAGCUAUUGCUUUGGUCCCAUGCACAUGACGGAUUAUGGAAAGACCAUAAGGUCCAAUCAAGAUGCCAGCAGCCAAAUAUCCAAGAACGGGACUGCCUAAAAAUAGGAGCAGAUAGAAGAAAAACAUCAGUAAAGGAAAAAUAGAACAAAUAAUGGUAAGGAGAAGGAAAGAGAAAAAACAUUGUUUUCUCCAGACUGUGAGGAAACAUCAUAAAAAGCAAAUAGAGAAUUCAAACAUGAGCACCAAAAGUCUUUGCAAAAGUUCAUAUUGACAAAAGAUCAUGCGUUUUUUAAGAACGCCGACUCGAUGCUACAUACUAAAAUGAGCUAAAGGAUAGAGAGUUUAGUCACCUCCAGGAAUUUUCUGAAAUAUAGGCACAAAUAUUACACUUGCAAGAAGUAACCACAGCACAUCAAAGAGAGAAGCCUCCUCCUCAUUCAUCUGAGAAAUUCAAAGAUUGAAAUAAGCUUCUGACAAGCUGCUAUAUUCAGUAUGAUUACAAUCAUAAGAAACAAAUGGAGAAACUAAUAAAUGGUGUAGGAUCACACACCUCUUGAUGUGGAAGAAAAGCAAUUAGUUCUUUUAGUUUUUUAGGAAUUUUCUUUAUUUGUUGCAUCAGAGGUUUUGCAUUUAAGGAAAUGUCGUCUAUACUAGUAGUUAUGACAUCUGGCUGCUGCAUCAACAGAGCUCUCCUCUCUGCCUGAUUAGCAUAGAAGGCAACCCUGUGAUCAAAGGCAGGCAAUCAUUUUUGCAGGCAUCGAAUCUUAUAAAAAAGUAACAAACUGAUAAAACACAAACUCAAUAAAAUGGUUCCUUCCAGAGGAGUUGAUCCAUUGUUUUUAUUAUAGUCAAGCAGUGAAUUCUCUAGAUCUAAACGUUUGAUCUAAGAAGAAAUAGACAUAGCAUUCCAAAAGAAAAACAUCUUGUUUUAACAGAACAUGCCAUUUUGGUCAUGAAGGAGAAAUUAACGCUCACCAAAGACAUAUACAGGAAUUUGAGAGGAGUUAUAACUAAUUUAGUUAAUAUAAUACGGUAGUAAUAUUCAAAAACAUACCCAGCUCCCAAGAGCAGUACUCCUACUACCAGUUUAGGAAUUUGUUUCCUUGCAGACUCCAAAAGACUCUGGGCGACUGACAAUGGUGUGAACUCUGUCCCAUCAUCGGUGAAGGAAAAAAAUGAUGCAGGGAAGAAACGUGAAGAUUUCUUCAACAACGACUUUGAGGAAUUAGGGGGUGAAGUCUCCCUUGUCAGCUCCUUCUGAGAUUCCGACUUCUUCGAUUGAACACUUUUUGACUUUUCUGCUUCAAUUUCAGCUUCUUUUGGAGAAUCUAAACCCAGGAUUCCGUUCUCAUGAUCACUUAGAUCAUCAAAUUGUUUGAUAUCUUCAGAACUUUUUCUAGCUUUACCAGAUAUGAUGUCUGCUGUAGGCUCAGCAACCACCAUGCCACCAUUAAUCAAAGCAUCCCUUUCUCUUUCAACAAAAACAUCAUUAGGACCCCCGGGACUGAUCUCCUCCUCAAUAACAGUCUCUUCAGCCGAAACCUGCUGCUCAACAGUCUCAACAAUCAUAUUAGAAAGAGACUUUUCAGCUUUUUGCAGAGCUAUCUCUGCAUCAUUCACAUGCUGUGUAGCUUCCAAUUCAAAAGCAACAGCUUGCUCAGCUAAAAGCAUGAUGUUUGCAACUUCUUCCUCAGCUUUCAAUGCAUCCAUCUGUGCUUUCUCUGCAACCUCAUUCAAUCUAUCUGCUUCUUUCUGCAACUCCCCCUUUUUACUCUGCAGGUGCCUUAACUCCGCUUGACAAUUUUCUAACUUCUCCUUACAUUCUCUAAUCUCAUUUUGUGCAGUCAAUGCUGCUCCAUUAUCUUCCCUAAUAUCAAUUUCCACAUCACUCUCUCCAGAAUUUUCUGGGGAAUCGUUUCCCUUUUUCAGAUAUUCAGAUGAGUCUGCUGUCACCUGAAGCCUUGCCUCAGCUAAAGACAAUGCCAUCAUUGCCUUUUGAACAGCCUCUUUAGCAACGCACUCACCAUUCACAAUAUCUUGAAUCAUUUUAAGUGUGCUAUUAACAUCAUUCCAAGCAUUGGCUGCUUCGUCCUUCAAAGCUAUAGCUGCUUCUGAUAUUUUCAGAGCCUUUUCCUCAAACAUCCUACUGUUAAGACGUGCCACUUCCAAUUCCUUAAUCGCCUUCUGCAACACUUCCCUCAAGUCAUCCAGACUAGGUGUUUCCACUUCACCAUUUAGAUUUCUAUCUUCUUCUUCCAAACCAUUCGAUACAGUACCACUCAAACUCCCAUCACCACUCUCUGCAAAUUCCACAUUCCGACCAUUCCCAUCAGCAUAAGCCAACGAAUCAUUACCUUGACAACACAACCUAACUACUCUUACUUUCGACACAUCACGCAAACCGUAACACAACGACCUACUAGAGUACGCACUGCACAAAUGACGGUUAAAUUCCCCCCCGAAAACCAAAUUCGAACUUAAACAACCACCAUAAGCCAUACUUUUCCUCAUUUUCUUCAAACACCGAGUUUUGGAUCCAAUCAUGGGAUCAACAACACUGUAACUCAAAUUCCUACAUUUAAAUCUAGGACAUAACGGAUCCAGCAUCCUAUAACUACUAAUACUCCCUUCACCACCAUGAAAUACCAUAGGACGCUUAAAACUACAAGCGAAAUCCAUCUUUCUUCACCACACCGAUCUUUAUUCUUAGCAACGCAUUUCAAGAACUCUAAUUGACCUUUUAUCAAACACCUGGAGCAAUAAAAAAAAAUUAAAGAAUCCACGCUAGUAACCCUAGAACAGCAAAACCAGUACAUACUUCACAGUUUAUACUCAUACAAUACAACAUAUACAUAAAAUCGGUACUGAAUAAAAAUCAAUAAGUAAAAAAAGAAAAUGAAGAGAAAGCGAACUGACCGAUCAAAGAAACGGCGGAAAUGUAGGAGAGAGGCGGAGUUUGAGAGGAAAAUCUUAUGACUAAAAAGCAAAAAAAAAAAAAAAAGGCAGAAAAUGACACAACUGAUAAACAAAUCAACGUGGCCUUUUUUUGCUUUUUCAAUUAUGAAAUUCACGAGUUUAUUUUACUUUUUUUCUUUGAUUUUUAAUUUUUUCCCUCUAUUUUUUUUUUCUGUUUGGGAAGUAGGAAAGGGAGGAGGGAAAAUAAUAUAUACACGAGGAAAUUAGAUGAUUGGUGGAUAAAUUUUGUUUUUUUAUUUGGAAAUUAUUAAAACAAGUUUUAAUUUUGUAGAUUUGGUCUUUUGGUGGUAAAUUCAUCUAAGGUCACCAAACUAUUAAUAAACUUACAUUUUGGUCACUCAACUUCAAAAAAUUACAAAAUUAUCACUAAACUAUUCGAAAGUUUUCAUUUAAGUCGCUGCGCUGUUAAAUUAUUAUUGUAUGGCCUUCUAUAUUCACACUACCUGCAGCAAUCAAAAGCUCUCAUUCUCUUUUUUUUUACAGUUUAAUUUUUUUCAUGAAACAACUUUAAAUUCACGAAUCUACGAACUAAAAUUCAAACAACUUUUUUCUCCGACCCUCGAUUUUAAUUGUCAGAUUGACUUGGAUCUAAAGUAAAUUUUUCUACUAAUCGAUAGAUACCAUUCUAUCAUAUCAAUCUCCAAAUUGUCAUUUGGAGCACAUUGGCCCAAUUUUUUUAAAAAAAGAACAUACUAGUGACUUAAAUAAAUUUUUAACUAAUUCAAUGACUUAAAUGAAAAUUUUUGAAUAGUUUAAUAAUUAUUUUGUAAUUUUUUAAAGUUAAAUGAUCUAAAUAUAAAUUUACUAAUAAUUUAGUGACAUUGAGUGCAAUUUACCUAUUUUUUUGUUGAGGGUGACAUGAUUUUAUAUGCUCUUUGGAUAUUCCAGUUAUGAUAUCAUAUGCAGUCGCGUCAACCACGCGUGGAAGCUACGGAUUCUUUAUUUGUCGUUGCUUGUCCGUCAUUAUUUGAAUGGUCACGGCCUCUGGUGCGAGUUGGGAGGCGCGUAGAGCCAGGGACUGAAAGUGAGCCUCGUUCAUUCGCCCCCAUCUGGCUGCCAAGAGCCGCUCGCUCCACGCCUCUCCCUCUAUUGAUGUUAUUAAGCUUUUGGUUUCAACUCUUACUUUCACGUUUUUUUAAUAAUAAUAAUUAUUAUUAUUAGUGUUAAUCUAUUAGUGUUAAUUUAUAUAUAUAUAUAUUUUUGGCUCUUGAAUAAAUUUAUUUUGAUAUAUGUAUUUUUUAAUGUUUUCGGUAAUUGGAUUGAUAGUCUAACUUGUUAGACUACCAGUUUUUUGUCCGACUAAUUUAUUUGGGUCAAUUAAAUAAAAAAUAAAAAAAUGCUAAAAAAUAAAAAAAAAAUCGAUUCAACCUCUAGCUUAAUUGAUUUUUUAAUCCGAUUCAAUUGGUCCAAUUAACCAACUCAAUUGAUUCUCAAGCCAAUCGGUCUAACCCCAUAUUUUAGCUCAAUUUUGAAAAACGUGAUUCUUUUUAUCUAUUUUAGUAUAUGAGUUUUGGGAUUUUUCCUUGCUUUAAUCUCCAAACUUGAAAUUAGUAAAAAUUUAAUGAUGUUACACUUGAAAUUGUGUUACAUCAUUACUUGAAAUUGAAAUAUAUAUGUAUAUUUUUUUUAAAUUUCAACUACACUUUUAUAAAAUCCAAUGUUAAGACUCAAAGUGGAUCUAAUUACUAAAUUUAGAGAUUAUAGUCGAUAAAAAUUACAAGUACUAAAAUAUACCUAAUUAUUAAGUUGGUGAACAAAAAUUAUAUUAAUUAUAAGAGAUAAAUAUAAAAAUUAUACAUGAACUUUUAGCCAAUGUACAAUUUUAUAUGUAAACUUUUAUUUGUGUAAUUAUACACAUAAAUUUUUAAUUGUGAUUUAAAUGUAUAUAUAAAAUUUUGAUUUUGAUUCAAUUGUAUAUAUUUAAAUAAAUACAUUAAUUUUUUUUAUGUUUAAUAAGUAGACUUAUUUUUUUUACAAAAUAUAAAUGUAAAAUUAUGUUAUAUUCGCUUGAAAUCCAAACCAUUUAUUAAAAGUGAUUUAAAAUAAUUUAAUUUAAUAUUGAUGAUGUCUUUUCCACUAUGGAUUGAGUUUGAGGGUAAUUUGCACAUGAUAAUAGUCCCAAGUUGGAGAUUGGAUGUAUGUUCAAUAUAGAUAUAAAGAUUUGUGGGUAUAUUUUUUUAAUACAUGGAUCAAAUAUUAAAGAAAGCAUGAAUAAUGUAAGAGAAAACUAAACAAUUAACAUGAUUGAGGGUGGGUUUGGAUAGGCAGUGCAGUUAUAUGUGGUUAGUAUAAAAACAUAGUGGCGAUGAGAUUAAAUAUUGUAGUUGUAACAGGCCUAUUUUGCCCGGCCCAAGCCCAAAGUAGACAACCAAAAAUUACCAGUCCAAAGUCCAAAAUUCAAAGCCCAAUUACAAUAUCAAACUCAAACCACAACCCAAAAUCUCUAACCCAAUUCAUAUUGGCCCAAUAGGCCCAAAAGACUAAACCAACUCAGAAACCCUAGGGUUUCUGAACCUUUGUAGCGCCGCACCCCUCACGUGCUAAGUCAGCACGCUCGUCCCCCGAAGAUCACCAUUCUUGGCAUCUUGCACCAAAAUAGUAACCUCUACCUCGUUGACUUCUUCAUGACCUACAAAUACAACAAAGAAAAGAAAGUAGCAAAACAGAGAAAGCAAAUAGGAACAAUAGAAGCAGAAGCCUAAACAAUAAAAAUCAAAUCAAAUCAAUAUUACGGCUAUAAAAAGCCCCAAGAUCAGAUUGUAUUUUUUUACGGAUUCUUGAAUAGAAAAAAGAAAACAGUCAAAAGCAAACAUUUCAAAGGUGCCUCUUUUAUUUUAAUUUUUUUCAUUUUACUCGAAAUAAAAUCAUAAAUGAUAAAAUCUCACCGUUGGUCCAUUCUCCAUCGUGGUUGAGAACCUCUAGUGACCCAAACAUCACAAAACCCAUUCGGGUUCCAACGAGGGUUGGAGGAGUGGCGAAGACGGAGGUUUUCUUCCCUUGCAGUUCACCCUUUCUUUUCGUUUUUGUUGUUUUUUUUUUUGUUUUUUUUUAAAUCUAUCCUAGAUCUAUUUAAAAGAAAAAAGAAAAAAGGAGGGGGAUUCGAAAUGCCAUGGCAGAGCCAUAGCGGAGCCAUGUCCUAGACUCGCUGGAGCCACGCCGGACCCCUUGGCCGGAUUCUAGAAUUUGAGGGAGAGGGUUGAGAGCCCCUUUUGUUUUUUUGUUUGAAAAGUAAAAAAAUGAAGUUUUUUUUAAAAAAGAAAUAAUUUAAAUAGCUUUUGUGAAACGGCACCGUUUCACUUAGGCUUUUAAAACAUAAAACGGUGCAGUUUCAAUGAAAUAACCCGAGACCUGACCCAUAAUCGACUAGGAUCCGCGUGUUUUUGGACUGAGGGCAUAUUUGUGCUGUCAGUCCCUCCGCUUUUAAGGAUGGUUUCAAUAGGGUCCUAUCAUUUUUCUGUUAUUUUUUAAGUUGGCCUCUUAUUUUCAUUUUUGUUUUAAUUUGGUCCUUGGGACAUUUAAAAGGGUAAACACCUAAAGCGGUGUUGUUUUGAGGGCAGGGAAUAAUUUCCCAUUUAAUCCCCAUCUUUUGUCGCGUGUUAUAUCUGGACCCUCAUUCUCUAUUCUUUUAAAUUUGACCCUUUAAUUUUAUUUCAUUUUUGAUUCAGUCCCUUUCUGUUCUUUUUUUUUAAAUCUCACUCUAUAAUUUUAUUUUUAUUUCACUUCAACCCUUUUUUUUUUAAAAUUCAUUUAUUUAUUUACUUGCUUAUACAUUCAUUAUUGCUUUAUUUUACUCAUUUGCUUGUUCAUUUAUUUGUUAUAUAUGUAUAUUCCUUUUAUUUAUUGUUCUUCCAAUCUUUAAUAAUCUUUCACUAGUUAUUCAUUUUAUUUACGCCUUCAUUACUAUUGGUAUAUUAUUAUCUAUUAUUAUUUCAUUAUUAUCUAUUCAUCUAUUUGUUUAUUACCCUUUUUAUAUCUUUAAAAUUAGAUUAUUUUUUCACUUGUACAUACAUAUUGCUCCUAUUAUUUAUUUAUUUAUUUAUAUAUGUUUUAUUACAAAUUGUUCCUUAAAUUUUAUUUAUAUUUUAAUUUGGUUCUUUACUUCCAAUAUUUUUAUAAAUUCUUUCCCUUAUAUUUAUUUAUUAUUUUGUUAUUAUUGUCCUCACUAUUAUUUAUUUAUUUCAUCUUUGCUUAUUCAUAUUUAUAUGUUUUAUUAUUGUUGUAAUUCGUUUGUUUAUAUUACUAUGAUUAUUAUAGUACAUUAGUAUUAUCAUAACAUUCAUUUAUUUAUCAUAUAUACUCGACUCGUAUAGUUGUUUUAUAUUAUUGCAUUAUUAUUACCCCAUGCACUAUGUUGAAAUAUAAUCGAUUGUCUUUGUAUUAUAUUUCAAAUAAGCCCAUGUCAUUUUAAAAUUACGUUUGGUAAUUAUUUAAAAAGGAAAUUUUUCAAAGUAAGGCAAUGCUCUGUAUUUGGAAAUUUGAGGUAGUCGUGUCCUAACUUACAGGGUUUUGAUUUUUCUUAUUGAAUCCAAAUGACCGAAUAUCCUUUUAAAAUUAAAUACAUGAGGUAUUGAAAAAAAAACGAAGGCAAACUUACUCUCGAGUAUUCUAAGUGUCGUGUCCUAACUUACGGGAUGUGGCAUUUUGUUGCCUCGAGAUGAGAAGGUCUUUAGCAUACUUUAUGAUUUAUUCAAAUGAUUUUUGAGUAUGCACAUUAGUAUAAAAAGGGAUCGUAUUUUAAAUUCUUUUCAGAUUUUCAACUUUCGAUAUUAAGACAUUAAUUAAUCAACUAGGUACCAAUUUCGGGCGUUACGAGAGUGCUAAUCCUUCCUCGUGUGUAACCGACUCCCGAAUCUGUUUCCUAGACUUCAUAGACCAAAAAUUGUUGUUUUAAUAAACCAAACAUUUUAUUAAAAUAAUCACGAGGUAAUCCGGUCACACCUCAUAAAAAAGAUUGGCGGCGACUCCCAUUUUUCGUUUUUAAAAAAUCAAAGUCGACGCAUUUUCAUAUAAAUGGUUUCAACAAUAGUGAUACUGUAACAUGAGAUAAAAAAUAAGCUAAACGUACCGCAACUCACCGCCCAUCCAAACCAACCUUGAAGCAAUCUUGUUGCCUCUUUAUCGACCUAAUUCAAGGCUUUAGCAUAAAUGCUACCUAUACCAAUAUGACUUAAAAAGACUCCACAAUACUAUGAUGUCCUCCUAAAUAGGUUGAAUGUUCCACUUUAUAUGGACCUUUUUACCUUCAAAAUUUGCUCUUAAGAAUUUAUCCUUGUAACACCCCCUACCCGUAUUCGUUGCCAAAAUAAGGUACGAGGCAUUACCGGAGUUUACGAAUUAAUUUUUUUAAACUCAAUAUAACCGCUUUAUAGAUAUCUAACCUUCCCUGCAAUUUUAAACCAAAUACAAUCCACAUCGACCAAUCCAAUUCAACAUAUUUUCAACAUAGAUUAACGCAUAUAGAUUCACGCAUAUUUAUAAGAUAACGUCAUCACAUACCAAAACCAAGUUUGUUAACCAUACCAAUGGCUAACUUUACAUUCAUUUCACGUUAACAUUUACUUUAUUAACUUAUACAUGCCAUUGAUUUCCAAAAUAAAGUGUUUUUAUAUACCGAAAUCUUGAGGUUGAUAGUGUGAUGUGUCUCCGACCAAAUCCGACCUCUGAGCUCUCAACACUACAAAAUAGGGAAAAAGGAAAUAGGGUAAGCACUUUGUGCUUAGUAAGCUCAUGUAACAAGAACUAUACUUACCUAAUAUUUUCAAUACAAUGCAAUAAACAUUCAUAUAUCCAUUCAAUGCAUUAUUACCCUAACAUGCACAAACUCAACAUUUAAGUUAGUCCAAUAAUUUCCAUGUGUCAAUAAUAAUAUAUAUCAUGAUUGAUGUACUCAUCAAUACUAUGAUUUCCAUUCCCUUAUUAUUUUUCCAUAUUUAUCCCGUUGAAUUUCUCGGAAUUUCUAUGGAUUUUCAAAGGUACACUUUUAGUGUACAUUUCCGGGUCCGUCAAUUCAUAUUCAUGUGCGCACAUUUCCAUUUCAGAGAGCACACUCCCGCGAACCUCAUCCUUACAGCGGGAUUACCAGUCCAGGCUAAAUUUCUUGCAACGACAAUUACUCUAAUGAGCUUGGAUUUGAAUUACUAGUCCAGGCUAAAUUCAGACCCUAAUUCGAAUUACCCAUCCGGGAUAAAUCCAUUUUACACAUAUUCUUCGGGAGGGCUAUAUCAGGAUAGGAUCACCCGUCCGGGCUAGAUCCUUUUUACCGUCAAUUCCUUUUCAGAGAUCCAUCGAAUUUUCCUUUCAUUCAACAGGGAUUUCUUCCCCUUUUUAUCAAAUAUAUCAAUGUUUCAUCAAUUUUCAUACAAUGAAUAUUCAAAUCAUAUUCACAUCAAUGGCAUACAUUUCAAGCAUUUAAGAAUAUAAUUCAAGUUACACGAACUUACCUCGAUACUUGUUUGUAUACACAAAUCUACUGAUCCCGAACUUUUUCUUUUCCUCGAUCUAACUUCAUAUUUGAGUUUUCUAGAUCUAAAUAAAUGAAUUUAAUUAUCAAUUUAAUACAUUUCAUGUUCAUAUGCAAAAUUCUCUAUAAUUCAACUAUUAUUUAUAGUUCAUUCAAAGUUGUCUACUUGAGUCAUAGUCACUAAAUUAUUUUUAUCUUGAGCUACAGAACUCCAAUUUAGGAUCCGCUAAUUUUCCUUGAAACAAGACUCACAUAUCUUCUUAUCAUAAAAUUUUCAAGAUUUUUAGUUUAGCCAAUAAGUACAGUUUAUUCUUUAAAGUCACCCUUGUUCUGCUGUCUGAUAGUUCUGACCCUUCUUCACUAAAAAUUAAUUAUCUCUUUAUACAGAAUUCGAAUGAUGUUCUCGUUUAUUUCUCUUAAAAAUAGACUCAUUUAGGAUUCUAUACAUAUAAAUUUAAGCCCCUAAUUAUUUUUCUUCAAAUUUUUAUGAGUUUUCAAAGUCAGAAUAGGGGAACCCUAAUUCAUUCUGAUCUUGUCUCACAAAAUUCAUUAUAUCUCAAGAUUUACAAAUCCAUUGCUUACACUGUUUCUUCUAUGAGAAACUAGACUCAAUAAGGUUUAAUUUCAUAUUUUUUUCAUCUAAUAAUUCUAUUUCUAAAAUUUAUUGUGAUUUUUCAAAGUUAACCUACUGCUGCUGUCCAAAACUGUUUUAGUGCAAGCUAUUUAUUACCAUUUUUCCCCUAGGCUUUUAAUAAAUGAUAAUUUCGUCCCUACCCAAUUAGCCUCUCAAUUGAACUGAUUUAUCUCAAUUAACACUUUAUUCUAUCACCUUAAACUAGUUUACAACCUUUGGAAAUCAUAAUUUCAGCACUAGACUUUAAUUCCAAACAUUUUCACAUUUAGGUCAUAAAAAUCAAUUUCUAUUGAAAUUACCUAAUAAAAUCAUCUCAUAAACAAAUUAAAGCUUAAAUUUCAUUAUAUUUCAUCAUAAAAUUACAGCACUCAACCAUGGUGACUUUCAAUUUCAUUCAUGAAAUCAAAAACUAAUGAAUUUAAUAGUAGGACCUAGUUGUAAAAGUCUUAGAAACACAAAAAUUAUAAGAUAUAGGCAAGGAUUAACUCACUUGGUGCAAAAAUUAUGAAAUAAAAGCUUAGAUAACCCCUCCUAUGUCUUUUUGGCUGAUGAGAAUGAAGAAAAAUGAAGAAAAAUCUAGAUAUUUCCUAUUUAGUCCUAUAUUUAUUUAGUUAAUUAUGCAAUAUUCCUAUUUUGCCCUUAAAUCAUCAAAUUUCCUGCUGAUUUCAUGCCCUUGCCGUCCAGCCCAAAUAAAUUUUAGGUGUAAUUUCCUUUUAAAUCCUUUCUCAUUAUACACUUAAGUUAUUUAAUUAUUUUAGCAACUUUUACACCUUUUACAAUUUAGUCUUUUUUAUUUAAUUGACUACCCAAACAUUAAAAUUUCCUAACGAAAUUUUAAUACCACAUCACUAACAUUUAAUAAAUAUUUAUAAAAAUAAUUUCGAUUUGGUUUUAUGAGAUCGAGAUCUCGAUACUUUGUUUUUACCUAAUUUUUUCAAUAAUUUCUUUUUCUAACUAACCGCUAAAUCGGUAAAAAAAUUUUAUCAAUAUUUUCAUACGAUUUUCCUAUUAUAUUAAUAUUCAUGCAAUAUUUUUUUUAAAAAUAAUUUCUCUUUAAAUUUGAUUUGUGGUUACGAAACCACUGUUCUGAUAACCUUGAAUUUAGGCCAUUACAAUCCUUAGUCCAAAAAGUUGUUGAAGUAAUACCCAUACGACUAGAUGGCAUCAGAACAAAAUUGAGCAAUUAGCAGUUUGUCAUUGACUCCAUGUACCUGAUCGAGUCAUUCUUAGAUUACUUCCCUUGUUCUAAACUCGGGUGUUUGGAAUAAGAUGACCAUAUCAACCUUUGAAUUACCUAUUUUCCAUUCAAUAAAGAUGUUGAAACCCAAUGCUGGACCAUUAUCAAGUUUCAUGUCCAACCUAACUUGUCUUUUAGCCUUUGGGUCCAUCCAAUUCUCAUAAGCUCUAAUUGUCGGAUUUUUCUGUUCUAACACACUAACCAGAUUUGGGGAUUUUACUUCAGAAAUGGCUUUAUUUCUAUGGAUCCAUAUGUUUCAUAAGAUAGAGGCAAAUUUUGUAAAUACUUAUCUUCCAGGAUCCACUAUUGUAGAGAAUUCACACCAAGUUUAUUUGAUGUAAUUCCCAGCUUAGACCCAAGCCAAAUUACUCUCGUAAAGGUGUAAUCACGAAAAAGGUGCUCCAAGUCCUCUCUUUCUCCAUGGUAUAUAGCACACCCUCUGUCCACCACUUGAACCCAUUUCUGGAUUUCCAAUUUACAUGGUAAAAUAUUUAGAAUUUUCCAAAGGAAAAUGGUAACUUUAAAAGGUAAUUUGCUCGACCACAACAAUUUCCAAUCUCUUUCAUUAAUCUAUACAUUAUUUUGCCUCGUGCCAUGUCUCAUUCUAUCUUUGCACUCUCCAAAAUAGGCUGAUCUUAUCGAAAAAUUAUCAUUUGGAGUGAAUUUCCAUCUUAGUUCUAUGCUUCCUUCAAAAAAAUGACUUUCAUAUUUCCAUCAACCAAUAGAUGUAUUACGGAUCAUUUCCUUUAUAUCCUUUUUUUUUUACUUUCAUUUAUAUUUUCAACUCAUCGCAUUGGGUUUGUCCUUUGCUACGUGAUUCCUUGCUCAACACCUCAUACUUGACUCGAUCGUUAAGUCCAAGCUAUGAAAUGUCACGACCAUUAUCGGUGAAACUAACAUCAUAUAAUCAUUAUACAAUCAUCAUCCAUACUAUUAAAUAUAAAUCACAUUCACAUUACUUUAAUUAAUUAUUUUCAACCUCACACAAGCUUACGAAAGUUUUUUUAUUAACUCGUGGGUGAUUUAGAACCAAAUUGUAAAGUUUUCAAAAUUCUGGAUUGACGCCGCGACUUCAUAACCUCUAUGUCGUAACAUCAUCAAACAGUGAAUCACGUUGCAACUUCAAGCAAUUCGAUGUCACGACGUCACUCAUUGUUGGCCUAUGUUGCGACAUCGAAAUCUCGAGGUCGCAGCAUUGCCUCUGUCUUAACAAUUUAAAAUUUUGGCACCUAUUCAUUUUCUUUCAAACCAAUAUCCAAAUGGCUUCUAUCAACCUAUUACAAAUAUGGUGCCUUUCAGCCAUGUCAAACAAACUCAAUUCAAACAUAUAAUUACCUAAACCAACCACUCAACAUUAUACAAUUCAACCUUUCAACCUUAAGGCAUAAUCAAUUCCAUAUCAACUAUUCAUAUCUAAAGCAAAUAAUUUGCUAAUUCAAUCAUGUCAUUGUUGGGAAAUGUGUCCAUAUUAUAAUAAACCUAUAAUUGUUUUCUAUGUAUUUGAACGAUUGAUAAAUAAAUAAAGUUGAUUUCACAUUUCACUAUUAUAUCUUCAUGUUUUUACCUUUCAUGUUUUAUAUACAUAAUGAACUUGUGACAAUCAAAUAUUAGCUUAUUGAUUGUCUAAGUUCAAAUUGAUGAUAAGUGGCACUGUAAGAAUGUUUACAUUACGAGAAAGAUAAUUUACUUUAGUAGAUAAUUUAAAUGAGUCCAUAAUCUCGUAAAAAAAUCAAAAUGAGCAUUUGAUUCAAAUACAUAGAAGGAUUAUUAUGUUGUCCAAAAUUCUAAUUAGGGAGAUGUCUAAUCUUGUUUAUCAGAGCAGUUGACUCCACGGGUAAAAACAUAAAUGUACUCAUUGGAAGAAUGAUACAUUAGACUUAACCCAAGUUGAAUUAAUUCUGAAUUCGUUUGUGAAUUAAUUCACUUGUGACGUUAAUGAUGUGACUUACCUAAAUACUAAGUUAGUCACUGACCAUGCGUAUGUAACUCAGUGCUUUGAUAUAAGUGGAGGCUUAUGCUCUAAAGGUGAUCGAGCCGAUAGCCAAUGUGUUGGGUACAUGACUUUACUAGCAACAUGGAAUUCAUAGCCUGAUUAAAGUGUUAACGAUAUUCUCUCAUUGACAUUGUGUGGAUUGAUAAAUAUAAAACCUAGCCAUGAGUUUCCUGUACUCUAACAAACAAUUUAUCACAGUCAUUAGUUGGUAGUAAUAAUAUUAAUCAUUAAGAAGACACAAUGGUGACAAAAAAUAAAAUAAGAUCGUAUUAAGUGAACAAAUUUAACUCAAAAGAACUAAGAAUAUCAUAUGAGGGCAACACACACAUGGCGAGGUCAUUGGACAAAACAGUUGGAUGGAUUGCUUUCGUAAAGGGUAUACUUAAGUUUUUCAUCAUGAAACUUCUUAUGGAUUGACUCCAUGAUUAAGUAAAUUGUGAAUUAUCGGAAUGAUGCUUCUGGACAUAAUUGCAAUUGCUCGAGCCUAAUUUUAUGUGUUUGGUUGGUCUCUCUGCUAGCUCAACAAAAACUCGAUCAGACUGUAUUUGAAUAAAAAAAUUCUACAACUUUGGAAAUAAUUUAAUUGGGUCUAUUUACUCAUGUGGAAUUAAAUUAAGUGAUUGUGACUUUUUCAAUUAGAAAAUCUGAUUAAAUUUUUAAAAAAAAUUUAAUUUAAAAUAUCUCAAUGAUUUUUGAGAAAAUUAAUUUUAAUCAAGUAAAAUUAAAUUAAUCAAAUUAAUAUGAUAUUUUUAAAAUUUAAUUUUAAGUCAAACAAUUAACCCCAUGGGUAAUUAAACUUGAAAAUUGGACCCAAGAUAAAAACUUACAACAACGUGAUAUGAUAAUAUUUUCAUUAAUGGUAAAAUGGUUCAUAUAUGACAUUAUCAACUCCUCCCACCACAUACAAAGUCCACAACUUUUACCUUUACUUCCUACUCCUAAACAUCCAUUAAAAACUAAACAAUUACCUACUAGCAACAUAUAAUUUAAGGAUUUUCUAGUCUCUUUGAGGAAUACAAAAUCAGGUUGGUAAGGAGCAUAUGUAACUUAACGUUAUAGGUCAUCCCAUCCCUCUAGUGUUCCAACUUAUCAUGAUCAUGGCUCCGGUAAAGGUUGUUUUGG